rnacentral:rRNA from 1 species
ACGGGGAGCACCACGAACGGGUGGAGCUUUGGCGGUUUAAUUGGAUUCAACGCCGGAAAUCUUACCGGGACCGACAGCAAUAUGAAGGCCAGGCUGAAGACUUUGCCGGAUUAGCUGAGAGGUGGUGCAUGGCCGUCGUCAGUUCGUACUGUGAAGCAUCCUGUUAAGUCAGGCAACGAGCGAGACCCACGCCCACAGUUGCCAGCGUACUCUCUGGAGUGACGGGUACACUGUGGGGACCGCCGCUGCUAAAGCGGAGGAAGGAAUGGGCAACGGUAGGUCAGUAUGCCCCGAAUAUCCCGGGCUACACGCGAGCUACAAUGGUUGGUACAAUGGGUAUCUACCCCGAAAGGGGACGGGAAUCUCCUAAAACCAAUCUUAGUUCGGAUUGAGGGCUGCAACUCGCCCUCAUGAAGCUGGAAUCCGUAGUAAUCGCGUUUCAACAGAACGCGGUGAAUACGUCCCUGCUCCUU